CUGUGGGUAGCUCAGUCGGAUAGAGCAAUUGCCUUCUAAGCAAUCGGUCGAGAGUUCGAGUCUCUCUCCACAGGCCA
rnacentral:tRNA from 2 species